rnacentral:rRNA from 1 species
UAACCUACCCAUCAGAGGGGGAUAACACUUGGAAACAGGUGCUAAUACCGCAUAACAGUUUAUGCCGCAUAGCAUAAGAGUGAAAGGCGCUUUCGGGUGUCGCUGAUGGAUGGACCCGCGGUGCAUUAGCUAGUUGGUGAGGUAACGGCUCACCAAGGCCACGAUGCAUAGCCGACCUGAGAGGGUGAUCGGCCACACUGGGACUGAGACACGGCCCAG